AUUGAACGCUGGCGGCAGGCCUAACACAUGCCAGUCGGACGGUAACGGGAAGAAGCUUGCUUCUUUGCCGACUAGUGGCGGGCGGGUGAGUAAUGUCUUGGAAACUGCCCGAUGGAGGGGGAUAACCACUGGAAACGGUGGCUAAUACCGCAUAAUGUCUUCGGACCAAAGUGGGGGACCUCCGGGCCUCACACCAUCGGAUGUGCCCAGACGGGAUUAGCUGGUAGGUGAGAUAAAGGCUCACCUAGGCGACGAUCCCUAGCUGGUCUGAGAGGAUGACCAGACACACGGGAACUGAGAAACGGUCCAGACUCCUACGGGAGGAAGCAGUGGGGAAUAUUGCACAAUGGGCGAAAGCCUGAUGCAGCAAUGCCGCGUGUAUGAAGAAGGCCUUCGGGUUGUAAAGUACUUUCAGCGGGGAGGAAGGGAUGAGGUUUAAUACGGCUCGUCAUUGACGUUACCCGCAGAAGAAGCACCGGCUAACUCCGUG
rnacentral:rRNA from 1 species